rnacentral:rRNA from 1 species
CUUGACAUCCAGAGAACUUGGCAGAGAUGCUUUGGUGCCUUCGGGAACUCUGAGACAGGUGCUGCAUGGCUGUCGUCAGCUCGUGUUGUGAAAUGUUGGGUUAAGUCCGCAACGAGCGCAACCCCUAUCCUUUGUUGCCAGCGAUUCGGUCGGGAACUCAAAGGAGACUGCCGGUGAUAAACCGGAGGAAGGUGGGGAUGACGUCAAGUCAUCAUGGCCCUUACGAGUAGGGCUACACACGUGCUACAAUGGCGCAUACAAAGAGAAGCGACCUCGCGAGAGCAAGCGGACCUCAUAAAGUGCGUCGUAGUCCGGAUCGGAGUCUGCGACUCGACUCCGUGAAGUCGGAAUCGCUAGUAAUCGUAGAUCAGAAUGCUACGGUGAAUACGUUCCCGGGCCUUGUACACACCGCCCGUCACACCAUGGGAGUGGGUUGCAAAAGAAGUAGAUAGCUUAACCUUCGGGAGGGCGUUUACCACUUUGUGAUUCAUGACUGGGGUGAAGUCGUAACAAGGUAAGCGUAGACGU